rnacentral:tRNA from 1 species
GCCGAGGUAGCUCAGUCGGUAGAGC